GCGCCUCUCUCUCCCUCCCGUAGCCGCACGUUGUUGCUUGCCGAUGGAAACGGCGCACACGCUGCUGUUUCUGCGACGCAACAUCCGCAAGGCUAUUUUGGAAAACGCCGCGACUCGACGCAUCCUUUGCCGGUUGUACGGAGAGGCACAUAUUUUGAUUAAGAGAAGUGAACGCGCUUCGACUACCAAAAGGAUUUUCUAAGGAGAAGUACGUGGUAGGAUCUCGAGUCUACAUUCCAACAUGACUGCCUGUGGCACAUGCAGAUGAUGAAGGCUCAUUGAUGACUUACAUUCCGCUGUGUUUGUUCUGAACAUUGUUGAGCUAGUCCAUGUGACUAUGCAAUUUGUAAGGUUUUAUUGUACCAUCUGGAUCAACGAUGUAGUAAUUUGAUACUAUUGCAAUGAUUACAUAUUUUGUAAUGUGUGUGCUAUCAGUGAUCCCGGGAAUAGCACUAUACACAGGUAUCUUGCCUUUAUUAAAAGGUAGGGUGCUACAGAAUGGUAUCAGAGCAUAGUGUUGCCUGUAGGAUCGAGACCCUAGGUUUGGAU